rnacentral:rRNA from 1 species
AUACGGAGGGUGCGAGCGUUAAUCGGAAUUACUGGGCGUAAAGCGCGCGUAGGCGGCUAAGUAAGUCGGAUGUGAAAGCCCUGGGCUCAACCUGGGAAUUGCACUCGAUACUGCUUGGCUAGAGUAUGGUAGAGGGUAGUGGAAUUCCUGGUGUAGCGGUGAAAUGCGUAGAUAUCAGGAGGAACAUCAGUGGCGAAGGCGGCUACCUGGACCAAUACUGACGCUAAGGUGCGAAAGCGUGGGGAGCAAACAGGAUUAGAAACCCGAGUAGUCC